rnacentral:rRNA from 1 species
AAUCAACGCUGGCGGCGUGCCUAACACAUGCAAGUCGAACGCGAAAACCCCGCAAGGGGUUAGUAGAGUGGCAAACGGGUGAGUAACGCGUGGGUGACCUGCCUUCGAGCGGGGGAUAACGUUUCGAAAGGAACGCUAAUACCGCAUAACAUCCCGCCCUUGAACGGGUGGAGAUCAAAGCUGGGGAUCGCAAGACCCGGCACUUGAAGAGGGGCCCGCGUCUGAUUAGCUAGUUGGUGGGGUAACGGCUCACCAAGGCAACGAUCAGUAUCCGGCCUGAGAGGGCGGACGGACACACUGGGACUGAGACACGGCCCAGACUCCUACGGGAGGCAGCAGUGGGGAAUUGUUCGCAAUGGGCGCAAGCCUGACGACGCAACGCCGCGUGGAGGAUGAAG